GGCGUAGAGACAUCAUGUGUUCUUGCGUUGCGUGGUGUCCAUGUAGUUAUGGCAGUAAGGAACAAGGAUGCUGGGACGAACGUCAAAGAAGCAAUUCUUAAAGAAUCCCAGAGGCUAAAAUUGAUCUCAUGGAGUUAGACCUCAGCUCAUUGGCAUCUGUAAGAAAAUUUGCAGCAGAUUUUAAAUACUUGGACCUUCCAUUGAACAUAAAUGUAAGAUAAGCAAAUUCUUAAAUUUCCUUCUUUCUUGUGUUGUAUGUGCAUAUGGUUUUCUCAUGGAAAUAAAGAAAAUGACAGCUCUCUCAGCACCAUACACGCACUCAUUUGUAGUAUUGCACUCUCUCCUUUGUUCGAAGUAACAAUGCAGGCACUAUGGCAACUCCAUUCAAGCUUUCUGAAGACAACAUAGAGCUCCAUUUUGCAACUAACCAUUUAGGUCAUUUUCUCCUCACAGAUCUUUUGUUGGAGACCAUGAAAAGCACAUCGCGAGAAAGGAAAACAGAGGGGAGAAUUGUCAAUGUAUCAUCACUAGGCCAUCGAUACGUUACCGUGAAGGGUUUUGUUAUGAUAAAAUUAACGAUGAAUCAAGAUACCACAGAUAUUAUGCUUAUGGACCGUCCAAGCUUGGAAACAUAUUGCAUGCUAAUGAGCUUACAAGACGUCUGAAGGUAUUGAGUUUCUUAAGGUCAUCAACUAUCUCUAAAGCUCUGAUACCACUGUUAGUUCUAGGGAGAAGAGAGGCUUAGGAUAAUAGCUUGAUAAUGAAUAGAAAGCUUUUGAAAGAGUAACAAGAUAAUUUUAUUUUAUUGAUUGAAAUAAGAAGGGUACAAGGGCUUUAGAGUUGGUUGGAUGCACGAGGUGGCUGAUGUGAGUUUAGACAGCUGGUAGUUUUUCAGCUUUCUUACUUGAAUACAUAAUUGUUAUAUGUCUCUGUGUGAAUGACUUAUUUAUUAUUUUUUGCUCAAAUAUUCAUGCUGUGAAUAGUGUCAAAUUAUUGUUAUGUGUGAAUUUUGAUAUGAAAGAUUUAGGUGAUGUUAAUGUAAUACUUGGAAUUAAGAUAA